AUGGCCAGGCUUGCUUCCUCAUCCCUGCUGCUGAUUGUCCCUGCAUAUGUCCUGUCCCAGGUUACCCUGAGGGAGUCUGGCCCUGGACUGUUGCAGCCCUUACAGACCAUCAGUCUGACCUGCUCUUUCUCUGGGUUUUCACUGAACACUUCUGGUAUGGGUGUAGGCUGGAUCUGUCAGCUACCAGGGAAGAGUCUGGAGUGGCUGGCAAACAUUUGGUGGAAUGUUGUUAAGAAAUACAAUCCAUCCCUGAAGAGCCAGCUCACAAUAUCCAAGGACACCUCCAACAACCAGGUAUUCCUAAAGAUUGCCAAUGUGGACACUGCAGAUACUGCCACAUACUACUGUGCUCAGGGAGCACAGAGACACAGCCUCAUUUGA